rnacentral:rRNA from 1 species
GAUCAUGGCUCAGGAUGAACGCUAGCGGCAGGCUUAACAUAUGCAAGUCGAGGGGCAGCAUAAUGGAUAGCAAUAUCUAUGGUGGCGACCGGCGCACGGGUGCGUAACGCGUAUGCAACCGUACCUUUAACAGGGGGAUAACACUGAGAAAUUGGUACUAAUACCCCAUAAUAUCAUAGAAGGCAUCUUUUUAUGGUUGAAAAUUCCGAUGGUUAGAGAUGGGCAUGCGUUG